GACUCACUGCGCUAUGCGUUCCCUCACACCUGCCGGAUGCCAGGCGGCGGUGUGCCAGGCUCUGAGGAGCCGCGAGCUCACCCCAGACGCCAGCCCCGGGAAUCCUCUGCUCCUCCACUUUCCCUUCCCGCUGCUGCUUUCUUGCCCACCCACUCCCAGGUGUCACUCUUGGGGCAUCCAGAUGUUCUGGCAUUUGACCUGACUCCAGCCUAAGCGCGAGGACGGGAGAAAGGCCAAGGAACCCAAAUCCUCAGAGCUGACCGAAAAGCGCCUGUUGUUGAAGUCGCUGAGGGGCAGACGCGGAAUGUGAGCCGUGGGGCGAAGGGACAGCUCCGGAGGCUCGAGAUUCCGGAACCCGGUGGGCAUUCAAGUGAUACUGGAGCACGCAGUUUUCAGGGACAUUAAGCUCGCCCCGGGGGUCCACUGGAACCUUCUGACCCAACCAUCUCUCUGGACGGGGUGAUCCAGAACAGACGAUGAAGAGACAGACUAGCAUGAAAGGGAGCAGCGAUCCCUACACUGACCUCCGGAGGGCAGCAUGAUCAAGGGAAGGAGCUGUUCACGCUCCGCUCAAACCCCCGAGCAGCCUCUGCGGCUUACUCCUGCUUCCCAAGGCAGCGAGGUUCCACCCCCACCACCGCCGGCCCCCGCCGCCCUCUUCGCGCUGAAGCUGCCGAGGGUCUUUUUCUUCAGCCCAAAAUCCUCUGCUCUGUGGUUUAAGAUUCCCAGGCUUAAACUCGUAACUGCUAGGGUCAUCACUCCUCAAACUUCUCCCACACUUGUUUUGCUGAUGACGGACACAGGGGCCUCACAGACUCAGAAGCAUCUGGAAUCAUUCCGACAGAACGGUGUCAUUAUCCUCUUUCCCCUGGCUAAUCUCUAAGAACAGUGUCUGUAUAUGGCACAGGGGUCCCUAGUAUCAUAUAGAAGGACUUGGGGAUGUCCUCAUGGGCUGUAACGGCCCCCAGUGCUAUUCAGGGAUCUCUGUCCUUUAAAGAAAUAUCAUUUCCCUUUAUUUCUCUACCUUUGUGCCCUCACUUCGCCCUGAAUUGUUUCCUUAAACUGGGCUUUCUAGGAAA